rnacentral:snRNA from 1 species
UUUGUCUCUUGACCCUUUACCCUU